CCCCUAGAUGUUCUGGGCCGCACGCGCGCUACACUGAACAGUUCAACAAGUCUUAACCUUGGCCGAUAGGUCUGGGUAAUCUUUGAACGCUGUUCGUGAUUGGGAUAGACCUUUGCAAUUAUGGGUCUUCAACGAGGAAUUCCUAGUAAACGCAAGUCAUCAGCUUGCAUUGAUUACGUCCCUGCCCUUUGUACACACCGCCCGUCGCACCUACCGAUUGAAUGGUCCGGUGAAAUCUCGGGACGGCGGCUUGGUCGCUUGCGUCCGACUGCUGAAACUUGAUUAAACCAUAUCAUUUAGAGGAAGGUGAAGUCGAACA
rnacentral:rRNA from 1 species